rnacentral:rRNA from 1 species
CCUACGGGGGGCAGCAGUCGAGAAUCUUCCGCAAUGGACGAAAGUCUGACGUAGCGACGCCGCGUGGUGGAUGAAGUCCUUAGGGACGUAAACACCUUUUAUGAGUGAAGAAGUAUAUUGACAUUAGCUCAUGAAUAAGGGGCUCCCAACUCUGUGCCAGCAGGAGCGGUAAUACAGAGGCCUCAAGCGUUAUCCGGAUUCACUGGGCGUAAAGGGUGCGUAGGCGGUUAUAUUAGUCGGGUGUAAAAUCCUGGGGCUCAACCUCAGGCUCGCAUUCGAAACGGUAUAACUAGAAGAAGUGAGAGGUAAGUGGAACUCUCGGUGUAGGGGUGAAAUCCGUUGAUAUCGAGAGGAAUACCAAAGGCGAAGGCAGUUUACUGGCACUUUCUUGACGCUGAGGCACGAAAGCGUGGGUAGCGAACGGGAUUAGAUACCCGAGUAGUC